UACGGGGGGAGCAAGCGUUGUUCGGAUUUACUGGGCGUAAAGAGCUCGUAGGCGGUUUGUCGCGUCUGCUGUGAAAACUCGGGGCUUAACCCCGGGCCUGCAGUGGGUACGGGCAGACUAGAGUGCGGUAGGGGAGACUGGAAUUCCUGGUGUAGCGGUGAAAUGCGCAGAUAUCGGGAAGAACACCCGUGGCGAAGGCGGUUCUCUGGACCGGUUCUGACGCUGAGGCGCGAAAGCGUGGGUAGCAAACAGG
rnacentral:rRNA from 1 species